CCAGCUUCCCCGGGUGCACUGACGGUUGCAGCACUCAACCAUGCCCUCGUCCUUUGUGCGUCUGCAUGUGUAGAAUUUUGAAAGAACGGACAUGCAUUCAGCGCUGUAGUACCAUGCUUCUGACCGAAUAUUCGACUGGCGGUUAGAAAAUCGACUGAUCACGCUGAGGAAGAGCUGGUGUGGUUGCUGCAACAGUUUCAGACAACACCCACACUGGUCAAGACUAUAAUAUUCUGCAAGUCGUACAGGUGUGUAUAUCAAGUGUGGUCAUGGUUGGUUAUUCAACUCGGUGACACGUCCUACGACGGGGAGCACCAUAGCUGCAACCGCGUUGUUGAAAUGUUUACAUCUUCAACAACGGACGCCACGAAGGAGAGGAUUCUAAAUGAUUUCCGGGCCGGAAGAGUUCACGUCGUUGUGGCAACAGUCGCCUUU